UAGGGAAUCUUCGGCAAUGGACGGAAGUCUGACCGAGCAACGCCGCGUGAGUGAAGAAGGUUUUCGGAUCGUAAAGCCCUGUUGUUAGAGAAGAACGUUGGUAGGAGUGGAAAAUCUACCAAGUGACGGUAACUAACCAGAAAGGGACGGCUAACUACGUGCCAGCAGCCGCGGUAAUACGUAGGUCCCGAGCGUUGUCCGGAUUUAUUGGGCGUAAAGCGAGCGCAGGCGGUUCUUUAAGUCUGAAGUUAAAGGCAGUGGCUUAACCAUUGUACGCUCUAGAAACUGGAGGACUUGAGUGCAGAAGGGGAGAGUGGAAUUCCAUGUGUAGCGGUGAAAUGCGUAGAUAUAUGGAGGAACACCGGUGGCGAAAGCGGCACUCUGGACUGUAACUGACGCUGAGGCUCGAAAGCGUGAGGAGCAAACAGG
rnacentral:rRNA from 1 species